CAGGUAUAAUUCAAUGGUAGAAUGUGAGCUUCCCAAGCUUAAUAUGCGGGUUCAAUUCCCGUUACCUG
rnacentral:tRNA from 1 species